rnacentral:lncRNA from 1 species
UUAUUUUUAUCCUUAGCGAAAUGCUCUACCAGCUAUAAGUAUCAAUUUUAAUUUCUUAAUUUCUUAAUUUUUCACCUAACUCACCUUAGUACAUCCUUAAGGCUUUUAUAAAGACUCCGUCAAAACCAUGAAAUAAUAUGUCCACAAACAUGCAAGUUUUCCUUGAUCCACGAAAUUUGGUACCCACAAAAACUAUUGAAUCCACAGUAUUAUGACAUAUCCAACAACUAAGUAAAUGUAGGUAACAGUAUUUAAGUUGUUUAAUAUCAAAGGGAAAAAAAGCAC